rnacentral:misc_RNA from 1 species
UUCAUUUUCUAGUUAAAAUGGGGAACAUGUUAGUGUUGUCAAGAGGCACCCGGGUGCUCACCUAGGUGCCCCGUCGAGGCGAAAUCCAGGCACCUUGCCUGGAAGCCUCUAGGCGAGGCGCCUUCAACUAGGUGCUGCCUAGGCAUCCAAGCGAGGCUGAGGCGAAGCGUCACCCGGUGCUCCCAGGCGAGAAAAAGGCAAGAAAUUAAAAAAAAAAGAAGAAGGGA